CGAUACGACCGUACCGCAAACCGACACUGGUGCGCGAGAUGAGUAUUCUAAGGCGCUUGAGAGAACUCAGGAGAAGGAACUCGGCAAAUUGACACCGUAACUUCGGAAGAAGGUGUGCCCUAUUAGUGUGUAGUGAACAACGAAGCAUGAAUGGGUUGCAAAAAAUCGGUGGCUGCGACUGUUUAUUAAAAACACAGCACUCUGCAAACACGAAAGUGGACGUAUAGGGUGUGACGCCUGCCCGGUGCUGGAAGAUUAAAUGAUGGGGUGCAAGCUCUUGAUUGAAGUCCCAGUAAACGGCGGCCGUAACAAUAACGGUCCUAAGGUAGCGAAAUUCCUUGUCGGGUAAGUUCCGACCUGCACGAAUGGCGUAACGAUGGCCACACUGUCUCCUCCUGAGACUCAGCGAAGUUGAAAUGUUUGUGAUGAUGCAAUCUCCCCGCGGAAAGACGGAAAGACCCCAUGAACCUUUACUGUAGCUUUGUAUUGGACUUUGAACAGAUCUGUGUAGGAUAGGUGGGAGGCUUUGAAGCAGGGUCGCUAGAUCUUGUGGAGCCAACGUUGAAAUACCACCCUGGUGUGUUUGAGGUUCUAACCUAGGUCCAUUAUCUGGAUCGGGGACAGUGCAUGGUAGGCAGUUUGACUGGGGCGGUCUCCUCCCAAAGCGUAACGGAGGAGUUCGAAGGUACGCUAGUUACGGUCGGACAUCGUGACGAUAGUGCAAUGGCAUAAGCGUGCUUAACUGCGAGACUGACAAGUCGAGCAGAUGCGAAAGCAGGACAUAGUGAUCCGGUGGUUCUGUAUGGAAGGGCCAUCGCUCAACGGAUAAAAGGUACUCUGGGGAUAACAGGCUGAUACCGCCCAAGAGUUCAUAUCGACGGCGGUGUUUGGCACCUCGAUGUCGGCUCAUCUCAUCCUGGGGCUGUAGCCGGUCCCAAGGGUAUGGCUGUUCGCCAUUUAAAGAGGUACGUGAGCUGGGUUUAAAACGUCGUGAGACAGUUUGGUCCCUAUCUUCCGUGGGCGCUGCAGAUUUGAGGAAGCCUGCUCCUAGUACGAGAGGACCGGAGUGGACACACCUCUGGUGUAUCGGUUGUCACGCCAGUGGCAUUGCCGAGUAGCUAAGUGUGGAAGAGAUAACCGCUGAAAGCAUCUAAGCGGGAAACUCGUUUCAAGAUGAGAUCUGCCGGGGCCUUGAGCCCCCUAAAGAGUCGUUCAAGACCAGGACGUUGAUAGGUCAGGUGUGGAAGCUA
rnacentral:rRNA from 1 species